UACGUAGGGCGCAAGCGUUGUCCGGAAUUAUUGGGCGUAAAGAGCUCGUAGGUGGCUUGUCGCGUCUGCCGUGAAAGCCCGUGGCUUAACUGCGGGUCUGCGGUGGAUACGGGCAGGCUAGAGGCUGGUAGGGGCAAGCGGAAUUCCUGGUGUAGCGGUGAAAUGCGCAGAUAUCAGGAGGAACACCGGUGGCGAAGGCGGCUUGCUGGGCCAGUUCUGACGCUGAGGAGCGAAAGCGUGGGGAGCGAACAGG
rnacentral:rRNA from 1 species